GGAAUCUUCGGCAAUGGGGGCAACCCUGACCGAGCAACGCCGCGUGAGUGAAGAAGGUUUUCGGAUCGUAAAGCUCUGUUGUAAGAGAAGAACGUGUGUGAGAGUGGAAAGUUCACACAGUGACGGUAACUUACCAGAAAGGGACGGCUAACUACGUGCCAA
rnacentral:rRNA from 1 species